ACGAACGCUGGCGGCGUGCUUAACACAUGCAAGUCGAACGGAAAGGCCCUGCGUUUGUGGGGUGCUCGAGUGGCGAACGGGUGAGUAACACGUGAGUAACCUGCCCUUGACUUUGGGAUAACUUCAGGAAACUGGGGCUAAUACCGGAUAGGAGCUCCUGCUGCAUGGUGGGGGUUGGAAAGUUUCGGCGGUUGGGGAUUGACUCGCGGCUUAUCAGCUUGUUGGUGGGGUAGUGGCUUACCAAGGCUUUGACGGGUAGCCGGCGUGAGAGGGUGACCGGCCACAUUGGGACUGAGAUACGGCCGAGACUGCUACGGGAGGAAGAAGUGGGGAAUAUUGCAAAAUGGGAGGAAGCCUGAUACAGCAACGCCGCGCGCGGGAUGACGGAAUUCGGGUUGUAAACCGCUUUCGCCUGUGACGAAGAGGGAGUGACGGUAAUGGGUAAAGAAGCACCGGAUACCUACGUG
rnacentral:rRNA from 1 species